CACGCUUAACACAUGCAAGUCGAACGGAGAAUAUUUGGUUUACUAAGUAUUCUUAGUGGCGGACGGGUGAGUAACACGUGAGCAACCUGCCUUUGAGAGGGGGAUAGCUUCUGGAAACGGAUGGUAAUACCCUAUAACAUAACGAAGCCGCAUGACUUUGUUAUCAAAGAUUUAUCACUCAAAGAUGGGCUCGCGUCUGAUUAGAUAGUUGGUGAGGUAACGGCUCACCAAGUCGACGAUCAGUAGCCGGACUGAGAGGUUGAACGGCCACAUUGGGACUGAGACACGGCCCAGACUCCUACGGGAGGCAGCAGUGGGGAAUAUUGCACAAUGGGGGAAACCCUGAUGCAGCGAUGCCGCGUGGAGGAAGAAGGUUUUCGGAUUGUAAACUCCUGUCUUAAAGGACGAUAAUGACGGUACUUUAGGAGGAAGCUCCGGCUA
rnacentral:rRNA from 1 species